UUCCCUAAGGCCUCUCUACUUCUAUUUUUCAUGUUGUUUCUUUCUUUAGUGUGUGUGUUGGUAGGCAUUAUAAGUGGAGAAGUGGAGGUGGAAAGCUGGGUGGGUAGCUGCUUAUGAAUUCUAGACCUGGACUUUUGUCACUAAAUAGCUAUGUGACCCUCGGCAAGCCACCCAGCCUUUCCUUCUCUGCCUAGCUCUGACAAUCUACCUAUCUACUGUAUGGACUUUUAUGAGAUUGCUUUGUUUAGCUGCCUCUACUGACAAAAUGCUCAGGGUAACUGGUCAUUUUAUCCGCCAGAACCAAAAAAAAAAAAAAAAAGAGUAACAAACGUUUUCUUCCACAAGAACACUGAGGAAAGAUACUACAUUACUGAUUACUUUAAUAACUUGAGGUGCAAAUGUCUUCCCAGCCUGGCCUCUGGGACUCACGUGUGAAAUGGCUUGAGUGUUGGAGUCACUGCCUUAUUGGAGAGAAAUUUCAGAAGUCACCACCCCACUCCAGGAAUGAAGACUGCUUUGAGAGGACUGCCCUCUGGUUUCAUGGCUGAGGGAUCCUAAUGAAACCCAUCACUGCAUUUGCAGGUGAGUUACUAGCACGCUAUUGCUUAGUGGUUCGUAUAUGACCCUCCAAGUGAGAAAUUUCUUUCAAUACUGAGUUUUAAGGAAAGCUUGAGUUAUUUUGAAGGAUACUCUGUUGUAUUCAUUUAUUUAUUUGUUUGUGUUAGUGCUUUCUCCUUUGCUUUGACAAGCAGGAAGCUCAGUUAAAUUGUUGGUUUGACCAGUACAAUUAGGACUUUAAGGGUUGCAAAUAUGUACUGCACCACCCUCUCUCCUAUGCUGAUCUUUCAUUUAGAUUUAUGUUUCUGAGUUCUCAAUAUUUGUUUCUAUUUCUAUUUAAGUAUUGUAAUAUGUGUUUUAAAUCACUUUAAAUCCUAUGUGCUAAAUUUGUCCUGGGGAAUUGGUCAGCACAGGAACUUCCAAGAAUGAUUAUUGGAAGAAAUUUUUGAUAUAUGAAGUUGGGACACAUUUGCUUCCAAGGCCAAACUUUACAGAAAAGCAUCAAUUUCUUGGGUGUUCUUGCAUGCAUAUUUUGUUAAAGAGCAGGCUUGGAAGAUAGGAUGUUUAUGGGAAGUAAAGAGAAAUAUGACAGCCAAUUUAAUAAGGAACAAAAAUAAAUUAUAGAGAGUCCUUUUAGGAUUCA
rnacentral:lncRNA from 12 species